UGAGGGCUCCAGGGAACUGGCUGGGAGUCACUGGGGGACCUUCAAGGAAUGCAAAGGACUGGUUAUUAUGUAUCAUUGAGUUUGGAAAUACUUCAAUGUUUGAAUUACUGGAGCCGCCAUAUGGGUGCAUAGUGGCUGACUUUAAGCUGUAGAUGCAGCCACAGUCUGGACUGAUGAUGUGGCCUUUUCUGUAGCAUGUGGGAGCUGGGCAUUCCUCUGGAUGGGACUGUCUGUUUCGGACAACUUCUGGGCAUGUGUGACCACGUCUCUCUAGCACUGGGGCAGGCCGGCUAUGUAGUGUAUAAGUCCAUUCCCUAUGGCUCCUUGGAGGAGGUAAUCCCCUACCUGAUCCGGAGGGCCCAGGAGAACCGGAGCGUGCUUCAGGGUGCCCGCAGGGAACAGGAGCUGCUCAGCCAAGAACUGUGGCGGCGGCUGCUGCCAGGAUGCCGAAGGAUACCCCACUAGCACCCCUGAGGGGGUCAUGUGGUCAAUAAAAGUCCUUAGGUGCUGCCUAA
rnacentral:lncRNA from 1 species